UACACACCGCCCGUCGCACCAUGGGAGUGGGUUGCACCAGAAGUAGCUAGUCUAACCUUCGGGAGGACGGUUACCACGGUGUGAUUCAUGACUGGGGUG
rnacentral:rRNA from 1 species